rnacentral:rRNA from 1 species
UGGGGAAUCUUGCGCAAUGCGCGAAAGCGUGACGCAGCAACGCCGCGUGCGGGAAGAAGGCCUUCGGGUUGUAAACCGCUUUCAGUUGGGACGAAGGUUCGCCGGUUAAUAGCCGGCUGGACUGACGGUACCUUCAGAAGAAGCCCCGGCUAACUACGUGCCAGCAGCCGCGGUAAUACGUAGGGGGCAAGCGUUGUCCGGAAUCAUUGGGCGUAAAGCGCGUGUAGGCGGCCACGUAAGUCCGCUCUGAAAGCCCGGGGCUCAACCCCGGGAGGCGGGUGGAUACUGCGUGGCUCGAGUCCGGAAGAGGCGAGUGGAAUUCCCGGUGUAGCGGUGAAAUGCGCAGAUAUCGGGAGGAACACCAAUGGCGAAGGCAGCUCGCUGGGACGUGACUGACGCUGAGACGCGAAAGCGUGGGGAGCAAACAG